UCCGUGUAAGUAGAGUGGCUGGUUUAAAUUUUUACGUCUGGCUACCACUAUGGGAACCAGAAAGACGAAGUGGUGAUACCGGAUAAACGAGGCUGGUAAAGUUGGCCAGUUGUUUUUGCAUUCGAGGUACCUGACGUAUCGGAGUCUGAAGAAAUCUGCAUGCAUUAUCGUUAACAAAUGCUAUUCCAGCGUAAAGGUGGUCACUUUCUGGUGGAAAACACGUUUACAAAAGGCAGCUGAGGCAACAUAUACGAGAAUUUUACCAUCGUAUGACUCGCAUAGGCGCAUGCCUGGAUUAAAAAUUUAAACACCUGAGGGUACUAUGAUGUUGCAAUGUUCUUUUGGUACUGUCGUAAAAGCGGUUAUUACAGACCGGACCUUAAUUAAGUACGAACAGACUCCUUAGACUUGGUUGUGUUACAUGAGACGAUUUUUGACCUUAAUAAUCCCAGGGUAGAA